rnacentral:lncRNA from 1 species
AUGUAAUCCUCAAAGUUUUCACUGGAGACCAGCUUCCAGGUACCUACAAAAGCAUCACACAUUUUGUGAGUUUUCUAGGAUUAUUCUUCAAGGUGAGAAGGAAGCUGCAGUUUUCAGGAGGGUGCUGUGACCCUCUUGAGUCCAGAUAACUUCCUUUUAAAGAUGCUCAGAACAUGUGAUCUUAGGAAUGACCAAUUGGGAAUGAGAUCCAAUCAUUUCCUUCAUUACCGGCCUCUGCAUUUUUUUCUCUGAGUCAUGUUUUUAAUAGAAAUUU